UAACGAAUCUUCCGCAAUGCACGAAAGUGUGACGGAGCGACGCCGCGUGGAGGACGAAGUCUUUCGGGAUGUAAACUCCUGUCAGGGAUUAGCGCAAUCCCAGAGGAAGGGGCGACUAACUCUGUGCCAGCAGUCGCGGUAAUACAGAGGCCCCGAGCGUUAGGCGGAAUCACUGGGCUUAAAGCGCGUGUAGGCGGACUGGUAAGUACCUUGUGAAAUCCCACAGCUCAACUGUGGAACUGCUGGGUAUACUGCCGGUCUUGAGGCAUCCAGGGGCGAGCGGAACAAACGGUGGAGCGGUGAAAUGCGUAGAUAUCGUUUGGAACGCCAAUGGUGAAAACAGCUCGCUGGGGAUGAUCUGACGCUGAGACGCGAAAGCCAGGGGAGCAAAC
rnacentral:rRNA from 1 species